UGGGGAAUAUUGCACAAUGGGGGAAACCCUGAUGCAGCGACGCCGCGUGAAGGAAGAAGUAUUUCGGUAUGUAAACUUCUAUCAGCAGGGAAGAAAAUGACGGUACCUGACUAAGAAGCCCCGGCUAACUACGUGCCAGCAGCCGCGGUAAUACGUAGGGGGCAAGCGUUAUCCGGAUUUACUGGGUGUAAAGGGAGCGUAGACGGCACGGCAAGUCUGAUGUGAAAGCCCGGGGCUCAACUUCGGGACUGCAUUGGAAACUGUUGAGCUGGAGUGCAGGAGAGGUAAGCAGAAUUCCUAGUGUAGCGGUGAAAUGCGUAGAUAUUAGGAGGAACACCAGUGGCGAAGGCGGCUUACUGGACUGUAACUGACGUUGAGGCUCGAAAGCGUGGGGAGCAAACAGGAUUAGAUACCC
rnacentral:rRNA from 1 species